rnacentral:rRNA from 1 species
AUUGAACGCUGGCGGCAGGCCUAACACAUGCAAGUCGAGCGGCAGCGGGAAGUAGCUUGCUACUUUGCCGGCGAGCGGCGGACGGGUGAGUAAUGUCUGGGAAACUGCCUGAUGGAGGGGGAUAACUACUGGAAACGGUAGCUAAUACCGCAUGACCUCGCAAGAGCAAAGUGGGGGACCUUCGGGCCUCACGCCAUCGGAUGUGCCCAGAUGGGAUUAGCUAGUAGGUGAGGUAAUGGCUCACCUAGGCGACGAUCCCUAGCUGGUCUGAGAGGAUGACCAGCCACACUGGAACUGAGACACGGUCCAGACUCCUACGGGAGGCAGCAGUGGGGAAUAUUGCACAAUGGGCGCAAGCCUGAUGCAGCCAUGCCGCGUGUAUGAAGAAGGCCUUCGGGUUGUAAAGUACUUUCAGCGAGGAGGAAGGCAUUAAGGUUAAUAACCUUAGUGAUUGACGUUACUCGCAGAAGAAGCACCGGCUAACUCCGUGCCAGCAGCCGCGGUAAUACGGAGGGUGCAAGCGUUAAUCGGAAUUACUGGGCGUAAAGCGCACGCAGGCGGUCUGUUAAGUCAGAUGUGAAAUCCCCGGGCUCAACCUGGGAACUGCAUUCGAAACUGGCAGGCUUGAGUCUUGUAGAGGGGGGUAGAAUUCCAGGUGUAGCGGUGAAAUGCGUAGAGAUCUGGAGGAAUACCGGUGGCGAAGGCGGCCCCCUGGACAAAGACUGACGCUCAGGUGCGAAAGCGU